GCUAUUUGAAGUCUUGUUUGCAUUACUUCUGUGCUCAAGUAUAUAUGUAGUUAUAUUUUUCGUAGAGAAUAAAAAAUAUUUUCUUCAAAUCUUUACAAGUUCUCUCAUAAAUUACUUUCAUCGAUCUGAAAGAAUGGUACUAAUUCGAAUAAGAAUCCAUUACGUACUUCGCGUUCUUCAAAUUUGUGGAGCAUUCACAAGUACAUGGCCGCCAGAUCCCACAGCCACAAAACGAGAAAUUUUUUUUCGAGAUCUUAGUUGGUUUCUGUCAAUCAUGAAUGUAUUGAGCUCAAUACCACCACUGAUUCUUGGUGCUUGGUAUUCUAGAAAUGAUAUUAUUCAAAUGAUGAAAUCAUUGUCUGAAUUGACAGCUCUAAUGGAAGUGUUGUUUAACUUAAUAUUAUGUAAAAUAGAACGAUUGCGGUUACAGAAACUUUUAGCAAAAAUAAGUGAUUUUUUUAAAUAUUCUGAAUUACAUGAAAAGCAUACCAUACAGAAAUAUAUAGACCGUUACUCAAAUUUUUCUGCUGUUGUUGGAAUAUCUUAUAUCUUAGCAGCAAUUACUUUUUCAUGCGGUCCUUUCUUCUUACCAAUAAAUCUUCCAAUGGAAGCAUGGUAUCCUUUUCCCACUGAUUCUCUGUACGUUAGAAGUAUUCUUUACAUUUCGCAAGUACUUGCCAUUUUGCAAACAGGAUUUUGUAUCACAGUAGAUUUUAUGAUUGCAAUGUUUUUUUGGUAUUCCGCUGCGAGACUGGACAUGCUAGGAUUAGAAUUGCAACACAUAACACACGAAAACCAAAUAAAAACAUGCAUUCAAAAACAUCAAGAAAUAAUAAGUUUUGUAGAUGAAGUUCAAUAUACAGUUCGAUAUUUAAUUUGUAAAUCAAAUAUUACAAUGGCUUGUGCAACAAUUUGUGGAGGUUUUCCAUUGCUAUACAAACAACCUCUGGCUGUAACAGCACAAUUCAUUUGUAUGGUGGUGGGCGGAUGUGAAAGACUUUAUAUUACAGCUUGGCCAGCAGAUGACUUAGCAGAAAUUAGUGAAAAAAUUGCCUGGAAUGCAUAUAAUAUGCCAUGGUUCAAGAGAGCUUAUACAUCACAUAUUAAUAUGCGUAUCUUAAUGCAGCGAAGCAGAAAACCACUUAUAAUAUCUAUGGGCAAUAUUUUCCCAGUACUAUCAAUACAAUAUUACGCUAAGAACAGAGACCACAUAUGUAUAAAGGAAGACCCGGGCGGGAAAUCCGACCGCAGCCGAGGAAGUGAAGUGAAAGUGUUAUUGUUUUAGUUCGUCGUUAAAUAACCUAUCCAUUCCAUUGAGUGAGAUUGAAUACAAUGUAAGUAACCUAUGUAAGUUAUUAUUUAAUAAUGUUAGAGAAGUAAUAAGUUUUUGACCGGCCCAAGUAAAUCACGCGUGUUUACUCGAGUUCUCUUUGCUUCAAUCUCACUUUACGUUAAUCACAUUUCAUGCACAUUUCUGUGUCUCGUAGGCGAUCAAAGUAGCUCUCCUGGGAUUAGAGAACUUCCACGAUUAUCCUCAGGCAAUCGCCGAAAUUGAAAACCUGCUUCUCGGUGAUCGAGUAUUUUUAGUUAAAUUAUUUUAGACAUUCUAAUUCUAAUUUUCUAUAUACGGUUUUGUGCUUUUGCAGCCACGACAAUCUACGCGCAGGUGAACUCUGCGGGUAGAAACUGCCUAAUGUCGCACAUGCCUCUUGACAGCAGCAUAUAUUCCUCGGUGACGGGUCAGAUCAAUAUAAAUUUAUAUCGACUUCACGAAGAUGUAUUUCGUGAAAUACGACUCGCAGCUGUACAGGGCGAGAGUUGGUCAAACCAUUACGAUAUGGAAGCAAGAUCUUCUUCAGACGGACAUGGCCUUGAUGGGUGUACAGUGCAUUCCUCCACAGAACAAACUAACAGUGUACCUGUUUCCAUGCAAAAAUUGGAGAACAAAAAUUCUGUUGUCAAUAUAAAUGCAGAUGUACAAAACAUGGAAGUAGAAGAAGAAAAAGAGAAGGAGAAAAUAAAGGAUCCGAUCCGAAUCAUGUUGCUCUUCCAGAGGGAUUUUUUGAUGUCCAGUGAUGGACGCUAAAGUCCAUAUAUUAAUUAAAAAUAAAAAUUAAUUUUUAUAAAAGGAUAGUGGAUCUUGUAAAACGCAUGGAGCAAGUGCAAAAUACCGACAGAAAGCAGGAGAAUAUCGACGAUGAUGUAUCGAGCGGGGACGAAGCAGAAUUUGAUGAAAUUCUCGACUGGUAUUAAACUGUACUCUCUCUUUAUAAGACAAUUAUUUAUAUAAAGUUAAAAAUUUUCCCAAUCUUAUUCUUUUCCAUAUCUGUCACAAUUCCUCCCUCAGUUAUUAUAAGAAAUAAAAAAUAAAAUUAAUACGUGAUCACUCAUAGUAAUUCUCGAAGUAACUUUCUAUCAGAAAGGAGAUCAAAGAUCAAAUCGAUGCAAUUCUUACGCACAGUGUAUUAAGAUUUUAUUAAAACGAAUUUGGAGUCAGAAUAUAAUUGAGUUUCAGAUACAUUUGGUAUAGAUUAUUCGUUAAUCGUCGUAAGCUAAUAUGAAAA